CUUCAUGCCAACUGAUGAGGAUUUCUACUUUAGUGUGUAUCAGCACUUGAUAUUCACCAAGUCCAAAGGUCUAAAAACCUGAUAAAUAUGAUAACUACCUCUUCAGCCAAGUUAUUGAUUUUAAAAAAAAAAAGCUCUUGUAAGAAUGCCAACAAGUAGACAGUAGGAAGAGAAAGCUGAAUACAACUCAACAAACACACGUUAAACAACAAACGUAAUAGACAACAGAAGAUUUGAGAACUACAAGAAGAAACAAGGUCCAUUUAGAAGGCUGACCCCCCUAAGGAUUACAUCAUACAGGUUCCUCUCCUGUCUGGAUUCCAGUUGAGCCAAUGAGUGGUACAGCAGAUUAGAAGAUGAGAAGAGAAAAAGAUGAGAAGACUGAGGAUCAGAGGGACUAUGGUACUUUUCUCAGGAUCAGAGAGUCAUCAAACUGUAGGACCAGAAUCUAGAAUCAAUCUGUUAGACAAUAAGGCUCAUGUGUUUAGGAAAAAUAUAAAGGACUGGAAGACUAGGCUUUCCAAGAAUAGGAUUUAGUCAAAAGCAUGUUUGAGGGCCACAGGAGUAAAGAAAAAAAAAGGAUAAGAACAUAAGUAAAGGCACAAAA